rnacentral:tRNA from 1 species
AUUUAAAUAGCUUAUAUAAAGAGCAUAACACUGAAGAUGUUAAGGAAAUUAUAAAAUUUUUAAAUG